rnacentral:lncRNA from 1 species
AGUGUAGCCCUUGAGGUUCUUCUCAGUGUCUUUCCAGAUGCAUCUCUCUCCUUUCUUCCAUGUAUUUUGUGCUCUUCCUUCCAGGUUCCUCGGAAACAACCCAGAUGCCCUGUGCCUGAUGUUUGUGCUCACACUCGAAUCUCCAAGUAGAAUGAUUUUCUCCCUUUUCUGUUUCUCAUGAUCUCCUCUCUUCACUUCUUCUGCAAAUCCUUCUUUAUUUCACUUACCAUUUUCAUAUGUUGUUUUAUAUAUCAUAUUGUAUCAUAAUUGCAUCUGUGUUUGAAGGAAGAAUUUGUUUUCUUGCAUAUGGUUGGUACUCUAUAACUGUUUUGUGAAUUAAUCAAUGACUUAAGAUGGGUAAGAGUUGGAAUUUUAUAAGAAUUGGGUUUUUUUUUUUUAUUCUUUAUCAGUUGAAUUAUCAGAAAACAUUGGCUUUUUUGUGGACUUUUUAAAGUAGCGAUCCUGGUGUACAUAGGAAGGAAGUAAAGAAAAAGAACGAUGACAAAUGGACACCGGAAGAACAUGUGAUGGCACCAAUAUUUGAAAAGACCGAUUCACUGACUGGUGGUCUGCUGCACGUGAAUGAUGACGGCAUUUUAAGGGAAGUGGAUCAGGGUGAUGACAGGCCUGCAAGGAAAACACCGUAUGAAAAGAAGAAGGUCAAAGAACAAAUUAAUUACGUGAAUGACCUGGAUGACUUAACUCAGUCGUCUGAGACUGUUUCUGAGGAUGGCGAUGGGCUUUACUCUACGAAUUCCCCGUUGGAAGUAGAACCUCUCAACGUGGGGCUUAAAGGUAGGACCGCAGUGUAAAUGUUAACGGAAAGCCUGUCUGUGUGUCGAGGAGUGAUAUAUGCACACCUUGUCAGUCUGCUCUAGAGCCAGGGAUAUGCUACAGUGCUGUGCAUCCCAGAAGU